GAUGAACGCUGGCGGCGUGCCUAAUACAUGCAAGUCGAGCGAAUGGAUUAAGAGCUUGCUCUUAUGAAGUUAGCGGCGGACGGGUGAGUAACACGUGGGUAACCUGCCCAUAAGACUGGGAUAACUCCGGGAAACAGGGGCUAAUACCGGAUAACAUUUUGAACCGCAUGGUUAGAAAUUGAAAGGCGGCUUCGGCUGUCACUUAUGGAUGGACCCGCGGCGCAUUAGCUAGUUGGUGAGGUAACGGCUCACCAAGGCAACGAUGCGUAGCCGACCUGAGAGGGUGAUCGGCCACACUGGGACUGAGACACGGCCCAGACUCCUACGGGAGGCAGCAGUAGGGAAUCUUCCGCAAUGGACGAAAGUCUGACGGAGCAACGCCGCGUGAGUGAUGAAGGCUUUCGGGUCGUAAAACUCUGUUGUUAGGGAAGAACAAGUGCUAGUUGAAUAAGCUGGCACCUUGACGGUACCUAACCAGAAAGCCACGGCUAACUACGUGCCAGCCGCCGCAGUAA
rnacentral:rRNA from 1 species